rfam:Nematostella vectensis strain CH2 x CH6 NEMVEscaffold_616_Cont30916, whole genome shotgun sequence.
CAAACGGCUCUUUUAGGAGCCAUCCACGUUUAUAAAAGCAAUGCC